CCUCUCUCUCAAAAUAAAUAAAUAUUUUUUAAAAAAUAAAGAUUUAUAAAAACUCUGGGGGAAGAAAUGCAGAUUAGAACAACAUCAUGAUUUCUGUCCCCCUUGUAUAUUAAUUAAAUAUCCGGUGGAUGAAUAGUUUUUAGGAUUGACCUCUAGUGGGAAAAUAAUUCAAAUAGUAAAGAAUUAAGCUAACAUGAUCCUCUAGUUUGAUAAUAUCCACUAGGAUAAUAGUAAACACUUCAUAAAGAGGAUUUAGUUCUUCAGUGUUUUGUUUGUUUUUUAACUUGAAGAAUGACCAAGUGGCUUCCUUAGAGAUUGACUAUAAUGCUUAAAACAUCCCAGGUGUGGUUUAAAUUCCAUGAUAAUUUUCAUCAAAAGUAGAUUUCAGAUCUUGGUCUUUGGGUUUGUUUUUGUAGAAAACAUUUACCUCACACCUUUCUUUUUUUCCCUUCAGACAAACCACUUUUCCCCUUGGCCGUCAUUUAAGCUUUAUACCUCUUCCCUUUUUUUUAUACAUCAUUUUACUUCUUUUCAUGGUACCUCUCUAUUAUCAAACUCUCUUCAUUAAGUAGAUUUUAUACUGACAUCUGGUGUACUACAACCUGGGGGCCAAACAGUAUGUUCUUGCAAAUAAAGUUUUAUUGGAACACAACCACACGCAUUCAUUUGUCUUGGUUAUGGCAGUUCCCAUUCUACAGUGACAGAGUUGGAUAGUUGUGACAGAGGCAGUAUGGCUGACAAAACCUAAAAUAGUUACUCUCUGACCCUUUACAGAACAAGUCCAUCAAUCUUGACAUUAUACUAUAUAGUGAAUCCUACAGGUGGAAUAGAAAUGAGACACUAAAUGAUUUACCCACGACCUUAUGGUGAGAUAGGAGCUAAAAUUAGGCUCCAGCACCUGCCAUUCUCCUUUUAUCUCUACUUCUUCCUCUUCAUUUUUCCUAGAAACAAGAAUGCCUGUGUCAAUUUUGAAUAAACAUGGCCAAUGUUAGCUUUUUAGGUUUCUUUUAGAACCUCACACCUUUAUCCCAAGAUUAUCUAUGUAUUUUCUCCUCAUCUAUGUUUAAGGCCUAACAGUAGUAACACAAGCAUUUUCCAUAGUAACACUUAAAAUCUAAGUUGGCCCUUUGUCUGAAUUUAUUUUUUCCUAGAGAAUUCUUGUAUGUGGUCUAAUAUUAUUGUGGCAGUUUACUAGCUAGCAAACAUAGCUUUUGAUGUGUAAACAUUAGGAAGUAAAAACUUUGGGUAUAGGACAUAAAACUUGCCUCUUUUCUAAUGUACAGUCAGAACAAAGAUCAAAUGCAUGCUAUUCUGCCGUAUUCAAACCAUUAGAGAGUUCUACUGAUAUCUGAAGCAGAAAGAAAUGCCCAAGAUACGUACUUUAUCACAACAGAUGGCCUUACAAGAAGGAAAUUAUGUUUUUAAGCACAGUACGUCAUAUUAUAGAGUAAUAACAUAACAAAUGAGCAGGUGUUUGAAGAUUGCAAUUUGAAUGGAAGCUACAACAUUUUAGCUUCAUCAGAGGCUGCUGCUGCAAAUCAGUUAGGCAAGCAUUUAUUGAUGGUUUAAAUUAAGAAGCCACACUUGAACAGAGCCCAUUUCCCUUCCCAAGGAGUGCUGUUAAAGAUUCUUAACCUACUAUGACACUUCUGAUAUAAUCUUCCCUAUUUCAUUCAAUUCAGGUUGAUUCACACACACUUUCAAAAAUAGUUUAAGAAAAAGGGUGUAUGUGUGUGACAUGAAUAGAGGAUUAACAGAAUUCUUUAUUUUUUAAAUAAAAAUUUUGUAGACUGGUUAUUUGAACAUCAGUAACUGUCAUGGCAGUAGUAGAGUUUUUGUUUCUUUAAGCUAAGCUAAGGGAACCAUGCUCUUGAGAAAUUCUGAAAUAGUUGUAAGGUCUUUGUGACAUUUUAAUACAUCUGGAAUUAUUAACCAUAAAUACAUUGCAGGAAACAGUUCCUUGCCCACGCUAAAGAUUCCUAUGGUUAAAACUUAGAGAUCUAGAAAAUGCUCCUUUUGGAUUGACCCCAAAUGCAUAGAGUGGAAAUCUUGCAUGACUAUUAUUACAAUCCAGAUGGUGAAUGGGUGGUAUUGAAAACAGUGUUUUGUAAGGGCCAUAAAGACUGAUUACCCAUGACUUAGACUGGUGAAUAAGAAUGUAUUGCCCAUUCUACCUAAAAUUAAUGACUCAAUCAAUGUUGAAUUAUAAUGCAGGUCUUUAAGAAGCACCAAUAAUGCUUACUGUUGUUUUUAAUUUAAAAAAAAAUUUUUUUGAAGGAGAGAGAUAGAGCAUGAGCGGGGGAGGAGCAGAGAGAGAGGGAGACACAGAAUUCUAAGUAGGCUCUAGACUCUAAGCUGUCAGCACAGAGCCUGAUGCGGGGCUCAAACCCACGAACCAUGAGAUCAUGACCUGAGCCAAAGUCGGACGCUUAACCGACUGAGCCACCCAGGCGCCCCCAGUAAUGCUUACUUUUAUGUCAAGUUGAUGAAUUUUAAUAUCACUCAUUUUUUUUUGGAGGCCAUUCAGUUAGAGGCCUUUAUUUUAGUUGUACUUAAAUUCCUAGAAUUAUAAUAGUCCCUAGUUGGAAGGUCCUUAUAUUCAGCAUAAAUCUGUUUUCUUGUGGCUUCCAUCUGUUGAACUAAGUCCCAAAUACUUGGGGCCAUCAAAGUAAGAAUGACUCUUUUUCUGUAUAUGGAAGCCUAUAUAAGGGAGCACUGCAUAAUGGAAUUAAGGACUGGCCACAUGUCCUACCAUUCAUUCAGUAAAGCAUGUAAGCCUUCAAGUUCUCAUCUUUUUCUACCAUUUCUGAUUACACAGAACUUCAUGUCACUCCAUAGUCUCAAUGGCUAUCUCCUAAAUACAACAAACGAUUUACCUGUACCCAUCUCAGAUAACAGUAUACUGAGCUGAAUGAGUGUUAAGCAACCAACUAGGCAGAGUGAAACUUGCACAAUUAUAUAUUUUCUUUUGAUUUCCUAAUAGUAAUAAGUAUCCCACCUAUUAACUACCUACAUAAAAUUACCCCAUUGUUGUAAUAAUCUCCCCCAUUAUUACAGUUUAUUCGUCUUAUAACUUUUUUUUAAUGUUUACUUUUGAGAGUGCAAGCGGGGGAGGGGCAGAGAGAAAGGAGACACAGAAUCCAAAGCAGGCUCCAGACUCUGUGCUGUCAGCAUAGAGCCGGAUGAGGGGCUUGAACUCACAAACCAUGAGAUCGUGACCUGAGCUGAAGUCAGAUACUUAACCAACUGAGCCACCCAGGUGUUCCUCAUCUUAUAACUUUUACUUAUGCAAGAGUAUUGUUGAAUUAUCCCUUUUAUCACUCGUAAUAAAAAGCAAGAUUGAAUUUGUAUGGUACUAUAAAUUUAAAAAUCAAAAUAACCCUGAAAAAAUUAUUUUACCUCUCUCAACCUCAGUUUCUUUGUUUGAAAACAAGACCUUUGGACCAGAACUAGCUUUCUGUAACUGUUAAGGAAUUUGGUUAUUGAUAAAAUACUAGGUUUACAAUUGUUAUUUUUGAGACAGGAGUUGUGUUACUUGAACUUUUUAUUGCCUCUUUCUUACAAAAUCCCCAUAGACAUUAAAUGUAUAUUUUAAAUAAUCAGUGAGGUUUGGGGUUUUUUUUUAAACCACAAAGAGUAAAAUCUACUUAAGUAGGCGAGAUAUUGUUGCUAGUACUUGUAUGUGAGAAUAGUCUGGAUGCGGAAAGUACAGGUAACUGGGUGCCAAAAGAGAGCCUUGACGUGACCUGUGAAGGCGAAUGGCCAUGUGUGGAGCCAGGCUAUUGCUGUGAAGAUGGAGUCCUGCUCUUCUUUCUCAGAGGCACACCCUCAGCAGUGCCCUUUAGUUGUCUGAGGAUCUAGGCUGUAUUUGAUGCAGUCAUAGCUCACACGAUGCCACACCAAACAUCUGUAAGAUAGCACUACAUGGACUGACCGUUUCUGUCCCCCAAAAUUCCUGUGCCAACAUUCUAACCCCUGAAGUGAUGGUCUUAGGGGAUGGGGUCUUUAGGAAGUAGGUUAUGAGGAUAGGGCCCUCAGGAAGGAAAUUAGUGCCUCUGUAAAAGAGACCCUGAGACACCUGGCUGGCUCAUUCAGAAGAGCAUGCGACUCUUGGUCUUGGGGUUGUGAGUUUGAGCCUCACACUGGGUAAAGAGAUUACUUAAAUUAAAAAAAAUUUUAAAGAAUUGAUUUAAAAAAAGAGACCCUAAGAGAGCCCUCAUCCCCAUCCACCACGUAAGGACAGAGAAGGCGCCGUUUUGUCUAUGAAGAAAUAGGUUCUCUCCAGACACCCAAUGUACUAGCACCAUGAUCUUGAAUUUACCAGACUCCAGAACCAUGAGAAAUGUCUGUUGCUUAUAAGCCACCCAAUUUAUGGAAUUUUUGUUAUAGCAACCCAAAUACACUAAUCAGACAGGCACCCACUCAGAAGAUUCUCCUGCUGGCUAGCCCUGUCACUUGAAAUUUUGCUGAAGACCUUGCUUUGGGUAAAGGAUUAUAAAUGUUAGCCAUAUGGGUUAAUUUGCAUGGGUUAAUUUGCCAUAUCAGAAAGAUAGUAGGCUACUGCCAGGAUUAGACUGCCAAGAAAUUAGGAGAAGAAAUACCCAAUAAAAAAUGUUAAAUAGAUACACUUUAAAAGGAUUCAAAAUGAGAUGCUAUAAAAACAGAAGAGGCAAAUUUGAAUAAGAACUAAAUAGAUCUUCUAGAGAUAGAAAUACCAUUGAAAUAAAAAGUCAAUGAACAGCCACAACAGUAAAUUAAAAAUAGCUGAAGAAUUGGUGAACUGGAAAAUAGAACUGAGUUCAUAUCCUGGAAUGCAAUAGAAAUAAAGAGAUGGAAAAUAUAAAUAGGCAACAUGGAGGAUAGAAAGAAAAAUCCAACAUACUUCUAAUCCAAGUCCUAGAAGGAGAGAAUAGAGAAAUUGUUGAUAUGUUCCAGAAUUUAUGAAAGAUAGGAUGCGAUAGAUGCAGGAAACAAAGUGAGCCCAGAGCAGGAUAAAUAAAAAUAAAUCCAAACCUAACAUACACUGGAUUGAAACUACAGCCAUGCAAACACAGAGAAAAACAGAAAAAAAAAAAAAAACAGAUUACAAGAGAUCAACAAUUAGACUGACAACAGAAUUCUCAACAUAAUAGCAUCUGGAGACAAGGGGUAUUUACAUAUUUUUGAGAGAAAACCAAUUGGCUGCCUGGUUGUGUUUAAUUCACUAUAUUAUCAUUGAACAGUAUGGACUAAAUAAUACCAUCUUCAGCAAAGAAAAAGAAUUUCUCACUUUCAGGUCCUUUUUAAAAAAAUUACUAGAGGAUGACCUUCAGGAGAAAGGAAGUUGAACUCAGAAGAAAUAAAAUAUAAGAAGCAAUGGAAAUAAAGAAAUAGGUAAACUUUAAAAUACUACUUUAAAUAGAAACAAAGGUGCGUAAGAAAUUCAUCAGAACUUUGCAAGACCUGGAGAAAAUUAUAAAACCCUAUUGAAAUAAGUCUUAAAUUUUCUUAAAAGUUAUACAAUGUUCAUGAAUGAUAAGACUCAUUAAAGAAUAAUGUUCAAACUUAUCUAUAUAAUCAGUGUGAUUCUAAUCAACAUUCCAUUAAUUGUGGGGUUUUUUUGGGGGGGUUUUGUGUGUGUGUGUGUGUGUGUGUGUAGCUUAAAAGGCCGUUACAAGCAUUCACAUGGAAAAUGAAAGGCCAAGAACUGGCAAGUCAAUUUGAAGAAUAAGAUCAAGUAGAGAGGAUGUGUUUUUUUCUUUCAAAUUUUAAAGCUUAUUAAAGAACCCAUAAUUUUAAUUAAAACGUCAUAUUCUCAUAGUAAUAGGUAGAUAUAACAAAAAAGACUAAUUACAGACCCAUGUAAUAUGUAAUAAUAAGAAUACUAAGGAUAGUAAAUAAAGCAUAUGAUUUUUACCAUAUAGUUUCAGGCACUAUUGUAAGUGCUUUACAUAUUCUAACUCCUGUAUCUGCAAAGGUGCAUUAAAUUUCAGUCAAACACAGCAGCAUUACUCAUAAUGGCCAAAUGGUGGAAACAACACAAAUGUCUACCAAGGGAUGAAUGGAUAAACAAAUUAUAGCAUACCUAUACAAUGCAACAUUGUUCAGCCAUGAAAAAGAAUGAAGUCUUGAAAUAUGCUACAAAAUGGAUGAAUCUUGAUAGCAUGCUGGUAAGGGAAAGAAGCCAGACACAAAAGGUCACAUUUUGUGUGGUUCCUUGUAUAUGAAACACCAGAGGCAAAUCCAUAGAGACAGAAAGCAACGUCGUGGUGCUAGGGGCUAGGGAAAAAGAAUAUGGAGAGUGAUUACUUGAAGAAUAUGGGAUGUUCUUCUGGAGUGAUGAAAAUGCAAAACUACAGAGAGGUUGUUGCCACACAACAUUGUGAAUGCACUAGAUGCCGCUGAAUUGUACACUUUAAAAUGGUUCGUUGUUAAUAUGAACUUCACCUCAGUACAAAAACAAACUUCAGUCAUCAAGAAUGGACUAUUCAAUAAAUGUGCUUGGGAAAUUGGUUCAUGCAUAUGGAGAAAUAUAAAAUUAGAUUUCUUCUUCAUACAUUACACUAAAAUAAAUACCAGGUAUAUUAAAGCCCUAAAUACAAGCAGGACUUUAAAACUUGCUGAGAUGAGCACUGGGUGUUGUAUGGAAGCAAAUUUGACAAUAAAUUAUAUUUAAAAAAAUAAAACUUAGGGAAGAAAAAUAAGAGAAUAUAUCAUCCUUUAUAAGUUAGAAUUUUCUGCAAGAAAAAGACCAUUAAGAUAAUGGAGUGCCUGGGUGUCUUGGUAAAGUGUCUGCCUUCAGCUCAGGUCGUGAUCUCACAGUUUGUGGGUUUGAGUCCCAUAUUGGGUUCUGUGCUGACAGCUCAGAGCCUGGAGCUUCCUUCAGAUUCUGUGUCUCCCUUUCUUUGCCCUUCCCCUGCUCACGCUCUGUCUCUCUCCGUCUCUCUCAAAAAUAAAAAAAAAACUUUAAAAAAAUUGAAAAGCUAAGUGAUAAGCCAUGGACCAGGAGGGACUAUUUGCAGCCAGUACAGUUGACCAAGGGUUAUUAAUGAUAAUAUUUGAUGGACUCCCUCAUCUCAGGAAGAGAAAAGACAACCCGAUAGAAAAAUCGGCCAAGGCAAUGAACAAUUCGCGGAAAAGGAAAUCUGAAAAGUAACCGGGAACAUGCAAAUCGAAACAAUGACCUGCCAUUUUCCAUGUCAGAUUGACAAAAAAUCCAACUUUGAGAACAUCCGAUGCUUCACAGGGUGUGGAAAUGUGGGCCCAGUAAAACAUUGCUGAUGGGAUAUAAAAUCGCUUUAGAGAGCAAUUUGGCAAUACCCACACAGCUGAACAAAGGCUUACAAAACAAUUCCAGUGUCGACAUCCGACCUAGAGAAACUCUCCAACAAGCAAAGAGGAAAUAAGUAAAUAUACAAGGAUGUUUGCUGCAACACUUUAAAUAAAAAGAAAAAUAUGGAAACAACUGUCUAUCAGUUGUGGAUUAAAAAAAAAAAAACCUGUAAAAAGAAUACGAAAAUAGCAACUGUAAGAAAUGAAAGUGUGUGUGUGUGUGUGUGUGUACCUAUAUAAGCUAAAAAGCAAAAUGUUGAGUGAAAACAAGUUGGGAGAAACUUAAGGCACAUGAAAAUUACACAUGCCAACUGUAGAACACUGAUUAUUUCUGGGAAGGGAGAGUGAGAAAAAGAAUAGGACCAGGAUGACUGUAUAUCUACAGUGAUUUAUUAACAGUAAAAGAGUGAUUGCUAGCAAAAAUGGCAAAAUGUUGACGUCUGUUAAAUCCACGUAGUACAUGAGUGUUUAUAAGAUUAUUUUUCACACUUUAUAUAAACAAAACAUUUCAUAAUGAAAGCAGGAGAAAAAGCCUCAUGCUCAUGGUAAUAUUUCAACUGAAGUAAUAUUUGACCCCUCCAACUCCCCAGAUGAACUGCACCCAGAAUGCAGCAAGGGCUUUCUCUAAGGCCAGAGCUCUACAACACUCUGUAUGGGAAGAGUUGACCCACAAGUGGGGCUCCUGGUGAGGAAGAAGACAGAUGUUGAAGUAGCUGUGGGUCUUGGCAAAAGGCAAGGAGGGAAAAGAGGAGGCAAACCGAAUGAAUGAAUCCCAUCCUGAGGACGUCUGUGUAAACCAAGCCAGAUGGAACCUGUGCAUGCAUGUGCUCUCCUCCCACACCCCCUCCAGAUGACAGCCAUGAAACAGGUCGUUCCCUGGAUCAGAUUCGUAGGAGGCACCGGAGUCCGUCCGACGGUCAACGUGGAAGCAGAUGUGAGCUGGCAAUUGUGCAGCGGCGGAAAGAAAACACUCAUUUGGUUUGCCUCCUUGGGUUUCACUUUGCGCCUCUCCAGACUGUCUUCUCCCCGACUUCCACUAGAGGGCGCCGAGCCCCCAGCUGUGCCGGCUCUCCAAGUAGGGGUCUUUUCUGAUCCUGGUCCCAGGGGCCUGCUGCAGAGACUCCAGAGGAUUCUGGAUCCAGUUUGGGGUUCAGGGUUCCCUCAAAAGGUGAUCCUUCGACUCCCUGGAGAGGGUGGGGACCUGUGAGAGCCUUAUACUUCAGAACUGGGAUUUCGGAAACCCCAAUGAAGGCUUUCUUUUUUGAUCUUCUCUGUUUCAAAAGGGCACUGGCAGAGAUGAAUUAGGUUGGAUCCCAGGUCUCUGGGGACUCUGCUUCCUGAACCCCGAUUGCCAGGCCCCUGCAAACACAUAUGUGCUUAUGGGAGCACUAGACUGGAAUAUUUGAAACCAGAACUCCAGAAAAUCCACAACAGAUGUUUUCCCUGAAAGACACAGGCUCUCUAUCACCGAGCCCCCCGGGGUCUCCCUGCCCCCUGCCAGCCAUGCUCCUGCAUUGGCAUUGUGUGGGUGAGGGGGAUCACGCCUGACUUAAAAUUCUAAUGGACAGGUCAGUGCUUCCUGGGGCUGUAAGUAGGCUCCCUCUCAGCAUGCUCUGUUAGCAGGAAGGUAUGAUGAAUGUCUACCAACCCUGUCCUGCCUGCCCCAUUCUUUGUUUCUCCAGGUUGUUUGAGGACCUAAUUUUGAGCGACCUGCUCCUGUUGAAAUGACUUCUGCCACUUUGGAACAUCUGCUGAGAAUAACCAGGAUCCGCAUGUCCACUGCACUUUGUGCCUCACAACAUACUUUUGCAGGUACUGUGCCAUCGGAUACUUACACCACGGUAAGGCAUGACUCCUCUCCUUCCCACCUCACGGAUGAGAACAACAAGGUCCAGAACGAGUAAGGGCUGGCCCUGGGACUUGAACUCACAUCAUGUGACUCAAAAGGGAUUGCACAUAUUUUUGGGGGUCUUGGCAAUAUUAAGAAUUCAUUUGGGUUUGACUCCAGGGAAACCUUUCAGACUCCGCGAGCUUCACAUGGGUGUGCAUUAUCAGGAAAUUACGACAUUCCCUCCAGACACUCUUCAGAAAAUGGCAGCACGUAUUUUUCCUGGACUGGUUGAAGGGCAUCCUUUCUUAGGGCAGCGGGAUGGACUGGACAAGCCCUGGAGGUAGCUUCUAGCCGUUCUGUUCUGCGGAACAAAGCAUCCAGAAAUAGACGAAUCGGUCCCUUUUACCCCAAUAACAUUUGUGGCUAACUGUAUGAAAACAGGCCAUUUCCAGUCUAAUUCAUAACUACCGUAGAGUCGUUUUAGGAGGUGCUCAUCUCAGUAAAAGAUUCAAAAAUUCUCUCCGGCUUAAGACCUCAUUGUUCUGGAGCACGGCGGCUGUCCCGCGUGAAGCAUGCAGUUCUCCCCGUGGCCACAGGGUGGCGGGGUGACCUUAAGCUUCUUCCUCGCCUUUGGACAGGAAACGCAGCUCUCAUCAAAAUGAGCAAAAUGGAGCAACUCGGAGCGGGUUCAGAGUGACAUACACUUCACGUUUAUAACCCCUUAAAAAGGGAGCGGCAAGCGCUCUGUUUCCAGAAUGUCAGCAAUGGGAGGUAGUGAGGAGAGGGGAUGCCGGGUUCUGAGGCAGUAGAAGAGGCUCGUCAUGUGGAGGGCCCGGUCUACUGCAGCCCAUGGCCCGGUUACCUGGCCGAGGCCGAGGGGGCAGUGCCCUGCGGAAGCCCACCGUUGGGCCUUCCAAAACUAUUGCUGUUCCCCUUCUCUGUCUCGGAAUCUUCUUUCCUGGGGCUCUGCUUUUAUAGAUUGUCCCCAGGAUGUACUCGUUAUGUCUUAAAGGGGUUCUUUGUGCUGUAUAAGUUGGGGAGGGGGGUGAUGCACCCUCCAAUGGGCAGCAACCCCUUUGUGAGCCUCAAAUUGAGACAAAGGCUUCUGACAUGAGGGGCCGUAUUUGGGGGGAACAGUGAGGAGAUAUUUAAAUGUGGAUUCUGGGUUGUACAGGCACCUCCUGCCCACACACGGUGGAAGCCUAGAGGGACUUGAGGGAGCAUUUACUUCUUGCCUACUGUGUGCAUCAUGAUGCAGGUGCGAACUUCCGUGGGGCUGCCGCGGACCCUACCAGGUGCCCACGUUAGGCGGAUUGGGCAGGAGCCUGACCCACCCCACUGAUGCCCACAUAGAAACUGUGAGGUUUCACCUCCCGCACUUCUGCCAAAGCCCUGGAUGCCGCCGUGUGGAGACAGCAGAGGUUUAGUGUCAUUAGCUCUAGUCUUCUUAGCCGGCCUGGCAGAAGCGAUGUUGAAUUUCAACGUGGGAAGUUUCCAAGCACAUCUUGAGGGAUGCAGGAGCCUCUAACACUUUUCUGUAGAUGUGAUUAAUAUUCCUUUCCUCGAAUUUGAGACCCACGGGUGGGUGUUUGUGCAUCAGACACACGCACACAUGACACACACAUGCCACAGAAUGGGGCGGCAUUGCCGUUCAGGUUUCAAGACGGAGGCUGCGUGUAAUAGCUUCUUUCCUCCUUCUGGAUACGCUUUCGCUUCAAUAUUUAUGUCAUUCACUUAUUAAUCUUUUACAGGUAUUCUCAGAACACCUACUGUGUGCCAGGCAAAUUAAAAUGAGUCAGAGUCAAGCUUAUUUUUAGAAAAGACAGACCCCAGGGAAUCCAUCCUUUUUUUGGUAGGGAAAAGGCAGGGCUGAGCCGUGUGGCUGAGAAUGCGGGUCUGGAGCUGCCGCCUGGGUGGGAAUCCUGGUGCAGGUGCUCCCUGUCUGUGUGUUGUUCGCUCAGUUUCCUCAUCUUCGUAUGUGGGUAAUGGUAGGACCCACAUCACUCUGUUGUUGUCAGGAGCAAACGAACGAGUAAGAAGGGCUCUGUACCAUGCACGUGGAAAGAACACAAUACACACAGAGCCCUUACUCUUCUUCUUUUCUCCUUGUGGACUAAAGCUCCCCAGGAUGCUCGUUAGGCUGAGAUCUCUCCUGUGCUUAUGGACCAGCUAACAUGGAGACUGAGGAUGAACUGGACCCGGCUGUUUCUGUUCUGGGAGCUGGGGGCAGCUGAGGAGGCCUGUCAUCGCGGCCAGCAGGGAAGAAGCAGGUGGUGACGGAAUGAGCUCAGUGAUGAGCCAUCACUGGCGAGUGAGGCAGGGGGGUGAAGACGGGCGACCCCUGCUGUGGCCCCGACUCUGAUCGAGGUGACUGCCUGGGAGUCUCCAUCCUCCUGAGCCAUCACUUGCCGGUCUUUACACAAACUGCAGUCCCUUAAGGAGACUGUGACCCUCAGAAAUAAAGAAGGACCCUUCUUUGGUCAAGACGAUUCUAGGGCAUCAGAAGAUCACCUUUAGAGACAGUCCACGCUCUGGUUUCUGAGGGAUCCCCCAGGUCAUGGAGCCCCCGUGUCACCUUUUAGGGCUCAGUGAUCACGGCACAGCUCCAUCCAUGCUGGUGCCCAUGGGGCAAGGCACCCCUGACAAGGUAGUGUCUACACAUUUUAGUCGGGUCUUUCUAGAGUUGUGGCUUCAUCCUGGUUCUUCCAACCUCAUUCCUGAAGAUGUGUGGGAAGGAGCCAUGUGCAUUCUUCCCCAAGCCUUGAGUCCCCUGGGUUAAGAAUGAGUGACCCCAAGCUCUCAGGAGAGGGGGAGCAGCUCCUAUCAAGGAGGCUCCAAAAGGCUGUGAGCUGAGAUCCACUGGGGGGCUUCAGGCUGCCCUAAAACCAGGCCCGCAGUGGCUAAUGGGCAGGUGUGGUGGAAUUGUGGGUAGCUCGGUGACACCUCGGUGCCACUCAAGGGGGUGCUUUGUAAGCGUCUUCUGGGAGAGCGAUGGGGAGAGGGCAUGAGUGAGCAAGAAGGCCCAACACCAGGCCCCAGAGGGGCGAUGAGAUACCAUAGGAGGGGUGAAGCUGGGGAUCUGAGGUUCUUUGUUAGCCAGGUGACCUUGAGUAGGCUAUUUCACCUUGUGGGGCCUCACUUUUCAAACCUAUAAAACAGGAAGAAAAAAUGUUGCCUCCAUCACUAGGCUGGAUCAACACAAGUCCAGCUGCUGUGUGCAGGUGGCCAUGCUCCUUGAACAGAGGCUUCUGCUCUGGGACUGGCCUGUCUGCAGUGCCCAUCCAGGCAUUCCUGGGGUGCCCCCUGCCUGCCUCCAGCUCCGUCUGUCCCAGGUGAGGAGCACUUGGGCUGUCCACAGCCCGUCCGUCCUCGUCACACGACCAACACGUGCCCUUUCAGGAGCUAGGUCCAGGUCAGGCUCGAAGUCAUCAAGCUCUGACCUCACCAGACUUCCUCCUUCCUCACUCUGCCUUCCACGUGUGCUGUGCUCCCUCACGCUGAGGUCCCUGUGGGGUGCCUCACCUUUGCUGACACCCUUUCUUUCACCCAAACCCUCAGGUUCCUCAGUCUCCAGGACUGGCUGCCGUUCAGCCGACGGGGCAACACAGGCUUCAUGGUGGUAGCACCAUAACCUCCCACCCCCUCCCACCCUCAAUCCAAAGUGCUCUCUCUGCAGUGCCUCGAAGUUGGCAUAAAGAACAAUAUUUGAGCCCCAUGGCAGGGCCAAAGGGCUGGAAAUUCCUCUUAUCCUAGGCUGUUUGGGAAGCUUUGCCCUAGCGUCAGCUUUGCUGCUGUGAUUCCCCCUCAUCCACCUCCAUGUGAGCUUGUGGCAAGGACACUUACAGUGUCCCCUCUCCCUGCACUCCUCCCCACACCCCCCAUGCCCCCAGCACCCAAGCUGCUGGUCCCCCUGCAGGCCCCACUGACAUGGACAGUACGGUAGAUCCGGGAGGGUUUGGGGUUUGCAGCAUGACUAAGAUAUGUUGCCAUUGACAAGAUGCUCAUAGGCUGAGUGGGGGAGACAGCCUGGCUUUAGAUCUGGCCUCAUUCUUGCAUCUGUAAGAUGGAUUCAGGCAGGUGCCUCAGCUGAGCAAUAGCAACCAUCCUGGGUGUUCCUCACAUCCGCUGAUGCCAGGCCGUCAUGUGUCCCCAUCGACAAGCAUAUACUGAGCGCUUCCUAGGUUCCCAGUACUGCCUGGGGUGCUGGGGGGAACUUUUAGUGAACAAAGCUAUUUGCCUCAUGGAGCUUCUGGUUUCGUGGAGAAACAGAGGAAACGUAAAACAACAUAAAUUGUUAUGUCUAUCUAAGUGGUGAUAAUUACUUAAUUGUUACCUUGGCUUCUGCCCUUGGCAUGCCAGGUGCUGCUACUUCUGGGAAAGAUCUAGAUUGUCUGCUGUGGAUGAGACCUCAUUUGCUUAUUCUGAUGUUUUCAUGCAGUCCUUCUCCGCCAGAGUUCCUCGUGGAAACCACAGAACACAGAACAUGAUCUUAGUGACAAUUUUCUCAGCUCUGCCAAGGAUUGUUCAGAACUAGGACCACUCUGGAUGCAGAUGACAGGAGCAAAUUCACUACAUACAAUGGAUGUCUUAGGGCACUGGGCUUUUAUUCCCCCCUCUGCUUCUUUGUGACAAGUUUUCCAUUUUUCAUCCUCUGAACAUUGGUUUCUCUCGCUUCCUGCCUCUUCUGAAACUUUUGUUUUUUAAUCCCCCUUCUUGGAUUAUUUCCUCUAUCCUUUAUCCUCCUGAACACAGAGGAAGAAACAGAAAUACGGAGCAGAGGUACUUUCAUUAGUGAUGGGUGAUGGUUCUUCUUGAUUUGAAAAUCUACACGCAGAGGGGUGGGAUCUAAGACAAAAAUUGUUGCCAUAGGUAGCCAAACAGGACCUUUUUCAGGUUAACCAUUAAGAAAAAAAAUGAAGUCCACUCAUUUCAUGCUCCUCCCUCCACAGCAGCUGACUUUGCUAAUAGAAUAGGGUUCUCCUGGAUUAGGGGGGAAACAGGGCGAAUGAGAAGCUGGGCAGAAGGAGGUGCUCUGCUGAUGGUGGGGGGAUUUGCAGACUGAGUGCGAGAAUAAGAGGCUCUGGUUAUGAGCAGGAGUCCCUGGGGCCACUGUUAUAUCGUUUUCCUCCUAUCUCUUCCCUAGACCCCUGACUCCUUUUUUCAAGGGCAUGAACCCCAUUCAUUGUGGGCAGAGGCUGUGGUCCCUAUUCACUGCGGUCUGGGGUCUCUCUAACCCUGGGUGGAGCACUUGGAGGACAAGGAGAAAAGUAGGACUUCCUCCUAAAAGUGCCCAGCCCAGCUGUGACUUUGACUCUGAAAGAAGGCCUUGCAGGUUGAAGACAAUGAUUUGUUAUUGUUACUGUUUAAUAUUCAUCAAAUGCUUGUAAUGUGUUGGACGACAUUGAAAAAGAUUUGUGGUGGGUAAAAUUAAACUGAGCUCAGAACUGGCCUGCUGCCUCCAGGUCUGGCAGGCCAAGUUCUGGUUUCUUCUACUUGUCCACAAGAAUGACCUCAACCAACCAGGAAUGGGAAGCCCCCACCACCAUAGCCCUGCUGAUAAUUAUCCUUUAAAAAGGCAUGAAUUCCUAUAAUCUUUCCUGCCUUGGGUUACAGAGGGGAUGAUGCUAUGGUUACCUUCAAGAAUGAAAGAUCCAGGGAUGCAAGGUGACCCAAAAAGGUGGCAAAGCAAAUCAGUGUGAAUGACAUCUUUGAGCCAAAUCUACAACAUCAGCAAAGCUGGGCUUCAGUUUUUUUCCCCUUUCCCCUGGUUUGGAUGCUGCCUCUGUAAGACAUGUGGACUCCUCUUACUCCUCCUGCCUCGAGACCACCUGCCAGGAAAUGAUUAUGUAUGCUCAUUUGAACUAAAGAAUGUUGAGAGAGAGAGAGCGAAUAGGCCAAAAAUGGAGUCACUUAUGCUAAGCCCCAUGUCACCAAGCUGAGACUUAACACUGCACUUAAUUACAGUUUCAGUCUCCCCCUGGGAAUCUUAAACCAGUCACUCUGGAAUUACCUGGUCUGCACUAGUGAGGUAAUCUUCCUGAGACACCCCUGAAGCUCCCGGAAGGAAAGUGAUCUUGCCACAACCAGUUCACUCUUUGCUAGUAAUACUUCCUUGUCCCACUCUCUUCUGCCUGCACAAAUUGGGUUGGAAUGACACUAGGCUACCCACCAACCUCAUGAAAGUGUCCAUGAUACAAGGUAAACUGUAAAACACCACACAAUCCCCAAACCAAUGGCACAUCCCUCUUAGGUAUUAUUUGGCUCCAAGGUACCCAGGGCCUAGUGAAAGAAAUGUGAUCCUUAAGUUCUAAAGACUUGAGUGUGCUAUUUUCUGUUAUACUUGCUUAUUUUAUGUCCAAGAACUGUGGUCCUAGAAACUAAAAGUAUCUACAAAAAGGCAAAAUCUUAAAACAACUUAAAAUACAAUGACCAUCAUGGGGAGUGUUCCAAUCAGACAAGAUCAUUCUUUUAAGACAUGCUCUUGAAAGCAAGGAUUGCUGGGUUAAACAGACAGAAUAGGAUACCUAUUUUAAUUGGUAUUCACAAGCUUCCGAAAGGCUUCAAGAUUUCAAAAUAGCUUUUUCUGAAAGAUUCAUUGCAAAAGCUAAUGAAAAAUUAAAGACACAAGAGGUACCUAAAACAAAAGACUGCAAGGCUGACAUGACUCCUACUGCUCCUCUCUCUCCUCUUUUACCUGUGUCCUCAUUCCAGUUAUCCUCUGUAUGAAUUGUCUUUCCAUUCUGAACAGAUUACACAACUAUAAACAGAAGUCUACCAAGUUAAUGACCUUACUCCCUGAUAUUUACCUUUGAAGAAGCGCUCCCAGGAUGUGCUCUGGGACUCUUGAGGGAUUUUCUGGUAAACCUCUGUGUUAUUCCCUUAAACAGCCAAGGGAAACUAAAAUUAAAAUUACGGGAAAAUGUUCUGGCAGAUAACAGAGCCUACAGAUGGGAUCCUGGGAAAACUGGCAAAAACCAGGAAAGGGUAAGUGUUCGUACCAUAAUCUCUGCCUGUAGUUUCUACUCAAGGCAAGAAAAUAAAAUUUCCUGUGAUUCCUUCCUUUCCAAUUCCAGACCCGUUGGCUAUUAAUCCUUUCUUUCCCAGGGACAGCCAUUACCUUCUCAUUUGUCUUGUUUUGUGUCCUGAUAAUUUGGCUUUGUAAUGGUCAGAUUGGGAGCCCUAAAAUAUGGCCAGACAGAAAUGUGGUUUGCACCCCAUUUGUGGCAGUCUAUGUGUAGACAGAAAUAUGGGUUGAACUCCAUGUGUGGCUGGGGUCCUACCUGCCAGCCCUCAUGGGAAUUGUCAAAGUCUUGCUUUCUUCUGGUUAUGUUUGGGAGUGGCUCUGGAUCCUAGGAGUAGUAUCUUUUAUACCCUCUUUGGGCUUGCCUCUUACAUCCACGGCAGGUUAUUUAGUAUUUCCAGGAAUAUUUACUGUUUGUCUUGACUGAAAUCUAAGGUGUUUGAAAGGAUUUUUUUAAGUACCUCUGUGGUCAGAGGUUGGCCAAAUUGGAAGCUGAUUUUCAGAGCCUGAUAGAAAUUUUUUUAGGUCUUCUCUCCUAAGCUAAAUGUACCUGGGGCCAGGAGGGAGGAGCACCCUCUGAAACCUUUUUGAAGGGAUUUACUAAGAGAUUCCAAAGCACAGCUAUAAAUCUAGAACAUAGAAAUAAUGUGGUUUGAUAGGCAGAUCAGCUCCUUGAUAUAAUUUUGGCUGCAGCUUAACUCUUUGAGUAAUUAAAAACAACUGGCAUUAUCUUACAAAUCUUUGCAAACAAGAAAUACAGCUCUAGAACAAUUUAAAAUCCACUUAUUUUUUUGGCCAGUCCCAGAAAUUCCCCUAUUUAUCUCAAAAAGCCUGUAAGUAUUGUAAAAAUCCUGACUUUAGGAAACAAAAUCCCUUCUUGAAGCUACUGGCAUUCUUUUCCCAUGCCUUUGAGAUGUAAGUGUUCUACCUGGUCUUCUCCAGAAACUCUUAUCUAGGUCACCUCUUUGAAAUGGGAAUUUCAGGGAGGAAACUCUCAAUGGAAGGAAAACAAAGAGGGGAAAGGUGAUUUGCAACUUUGGUGAAUGAAAACUCUUAACUGUGCUAUAGCCACUGAACAGGGAAACUUAAGUUAUUCCUUCUGCCAGAAACACAACUGGGAUCUAACUUCUUUUAUAACCAGUGCUCUUUGUAUUAGUUUACCUGAUUCAUUGCCAGAACUUCAGAACGAAAUCUGCAUCUCUGUUUGUGUCUGUCUGUAGAUUUAUGUGUGUCUCCAUAUUUAUAUGUUAUAAAUGUGUGAUAUUUUUCUACCUCCAGAUUAUAUUGCUAAAUUAAUUUAUCAAAGAAUUCUAUUUAAUUGAUUCAAAGAUAUCUAGGAGUGCCUGGGUGGCUCAUAUGUUAAGUGCCUGACUCUUGAAUUCUGCUCAAGUCAUUACCCCAGGGUUGUGGGAUCAAGCCCCACGUUGGGCUCCAUGCUGAAUGUAGAGCCUGCUUAAGAUUUUCUCUCGCUGCUCCUUCCCCUCCCCACUUGCUCUUUUUCUCUCUAAAAUAAAAUAAAAUAAAAUAAAAUCUAAUUAAUAGGUAGGAGGGGCCAAGGUGCUUAACCAUUACUCUGUAGCAUUAUAUGUACCACACUUGGGAUGGUUUCCCAUGGCAAGUGGGUUCAGCCCUAGCUGAAUAUUAGAGUCCUUUGUUUAGUGGGGAGGGUGCUUUUAAACCAUACCAAUGACUGAGUCCCUUUCCUGAGAUCCACAUUUAAUUGGUUUGGUGGGAGAGAAGGAAGAGGAUUGAGUGUGUUUAGAACACUCCCCAUGUGACUGCCAUGAGAAAGCAGAACUGAGAACCCCUCCUAAUGAGGAAGGCCAGAGAGAAGGGUAGCAGACAUAGGGGAAGAGGUGAGGGAGGCUUUCAGGAAGAUUUUCUCCAAGGACUGAAAGGGUGGUGGCAGUGACUGUGCUUAUUAAAGAAACUUGAUCUUGAGUUCUGGGAAGUAGUACAAAUGAAUUAACUCUGCUCUCAGGGAAGAGAGGGUAUGGAGUGGCUGACUCAGAGGGUAGCCCUGAAAGGUAUUUAGUUCAGAGAGACCAGAAAUUUGGGACUAUUCCAGCAGCCCUCAGGGCCCGAUCUUUGUUUUUCUUCCACCACCACCCCCCACCACCACCACGUAGUGGCUGGUUUGACUGGAAGAGCCAUUUGUCAUGAGCACUGAGGUGCCAUCGAGGAGGAUCCUGGGAGGGGAAAGAACAUGGCAUAGGGAAGACCAGGGAAAGAGAAUAUGAACACCUGGAAUUGUGCCACCAGCAUGAGAAUCCUUCCAUAGCAUGGAGCAUUGGGUCCAGGUCUCAGGAGUUAGAGUUAGUCUCUCUGUGGUUUCCCUCCCAGGGCAUGCUGCCCAUGCCUCCACUAGAUGAAUCCCAACAGGCCAAGGUUGGUUGUUCCCCAUUCUGUCUUCAUCAGCACUGUAAGGGCACCUGAAAGUUCAGGAGUAUAUGUUGUUCAUCUGUGUAGUUGGGUGUGUUUAGAACACUCCUCAUGUGACUGCAGUGACUGCAACCCCAGUGCUUAAAGCAAAGCCCAGACAUAAUAGGUGUCCAAAAGGAUGACUAACUACCCUAGCUUGUGUGAGACUGAAGGGAUGUCCAGAGAUGGAACUUUUAAUGUCAACAUGGAGAGAGCCUUGGCAAACUGGGAUUGGUUGAUCACUUUAGUGCCCACUGACACCUCAAAAUCAAGACCCCAAACUGGUGAGUUUUAAGCCUUCAAAGCUGCCUUGGAUAGUGUUGGCAUAGCCCAUCUGGAGGGCAGCUGUCUUCACAAAGGAUGUCUCUGACAUGGCAUGAAGACUCUACCAAGGUCACUGAUCUCACCAAUUGUUUCCUAUUUCUUGUGACACGUGGAAAAUAAGUGACACCAACUAUAUGGAUGAUGGAGGAGGAAGAAGGGGAAACAACAUCUUAAAUCAGAGACCAAGAGUCUUCCGAUUUAGGUGGGAAACUUACCUCUGCUUCUAACUGAGAAGAGAGGAAUGUUUGGAAAACAACACCUGGCUACACGAAUGGUGCCUGAGAAUGGAAAUGUACCACGCACAUUACAUAAUAAUUAUCAAAAUAGUGGUUACUCUCUUUGAACACUUACUUUGUGCUAGAUGCUGUAGUAAGACAUUUUUUAAACAUUUAUUUGAUAAAUAUAGGAAAACAUAAAAAAUUAAACCGUCCUCUAAUCCCAGUUCUGAGAUGGUAGUUGUGAUUGGAUAAAGUUAGACAGGAGAACACUUCUGCCUUCUCUUGGGCCAUCGAGCGUGAACACAGUUUUGGAGUAUGUCCUUCUUGACUUUCACUAGGUGACACAGACAUAUUUAUGUCCAUAUCUUGCAGACGUGUCUUUACAGGUGGAAUGAAUAGGUACGUUUGGUCUGCAACUGUUUUUGUAUUGUUUUUAGCAUAUAUAGACAACCUUCCUUCCAAGUCAUUGGCUAUUGAUCUUCUUUGUUCUUUUAACUUCUGCGUAACAUUCCGUGUAUGAAUCCAACAUAGUUUUUCUACCUCUCUUUUAUUGGUAAUUUACUUAUUUCAAGUAUUGUUAUAUUAAUUAUAUUCUAUUAUAUUAUUAUAAAACAAUUAAACAUGUUUUACAUAUUUUA